GUGGAUAUAGCUCAGUCGGUUAGAGCGCCAGGUUGUGGCCCUGGAGGUCGUGGGUUCGAAUCCCACUAUUCACCCCA
rnacentral:tRNA from 1 species